rnacentral:lncRNA from 1 species
CGAUAUACAAAAGAGUGCAGGAAAUCUGUACACACGCUAAGACCAAGGAAUCCAGCUGAGGGCCUGGAUCCUGCAACAAGGUCCUACAUAAGUCCAGCUGAAUACCUAGAGCUCAUAACAAUGCCUCCCACGAUUCCAACUGGAGGCCCAGAGCCCAUGACAAUGUCUCAUGCAGGCCAAUUUCAUGGAUCUGUGCUGGGAAGGCCCAAAGGUCAGUGGUGGAAUCUACAAAGUCUGUGCCAGCAGGAUAAAAGAUAUGUGCUAGCAGGCUGAGGGAUCUGCACUGGAGCCAGGAAACGAUGCUCAGAAGAACCAGAGCUCCCCUGAAAGGUACCACAGCCAUCCUCAGCAACAGUGAGGUCCCAAGCUCCUCCGAUGAUCAAGACGGCUGAGUUCCCAUCAGGGAAGCCAAUGCAGCAAGCUUUUCCUGGAGACCGGCAGCGCACCACCUUCCCCUCUGGAGCCAGGAAGCAAUGCCCAAAGUGAGGGCCAGAGCUCUCCCAAAGUGAACUGAAGCCAAUGAGGUCCCGAGCUCCUUGGAGGACAAAAACAUCCAACUUCAUCAGGAAAGCCAGCGUGAUGAGCUCCCCACAGCUUCUACCAGCUCCCAACAGCCUCCUCCUUCUUCUCCAGGUCUGCCUCUUAUGCUGCUGGCAACAAUCUUCAGGUGAGUCAUGGAGGUGUGACAUAGGAUACUAUCAAUCUCGUCCCUCUCUGGUGCUGUGUAGGAGCUGACCAUGGACUAAAUCUCUGAAAAGGUGAGCUACAUUAAAUCUCUCUUCCUUUAUGCUGUGGGUCUUGAGUACUGUGUCUCAGCGAUGGGAAAGCCAACUAAUA